AUGCACACAGAGACCUACAGCGCCGCCCGCAAGCUUUCGGAAAGCUUACCAACAUCAGCUGACCCGCUCUCCUCCAAUCUCGUAUCGGGGACGGGGCUCAACGCCCCGUCUCCACAGCAACGCCUUUGUCUCAGCCCAGGGCUUGGGUACCGUGGGAGGCGCGUUCGGAUGACGUCAUGUACCCCCGGCGCUUGCAUGACAUCAGCUCCAGCGCAGAAGAGGGCUCAGCCUGCCCGCAGGUAUGAAAACGAGCAAGACCUCGGACACUGCGCAUGUGUUAUUUCAGGAGACCAUCUGAGUGCCCACCCCAUGACUGACUCCAUAAGCAUGAGAUGACUUCAUCCUCAAAUCCUGAAGGAACCCUGCCCAUCUUGGAAGAUGUAGCUGGUGUUUCAUGGCUGAGAAGGCUUCCCACUUGUGGCACAAGGGGUUUCUCCCUCGUGGUCCAGGCAGCUCAUUCCUAAGACCUUAGCUCCCCAACUCUGCUGGGGAGUCUUUCAAUUCUCCUCACCCUCUGUGACAACCUGUAAAAAGCGGCAGGGCUGGGCUCACAGGGUUUUAUUUACUGCUAACAAUAAAAUUGAUGCUUUUGAACUGUGGUGUUGGAGA
rnacentral:lncRNA from 1 species